rnacentral:rRNA from 1 species
AUUGAACGCUGGCGGCAGGCCUAACACAUGCAAGUCGAGCGAGUGGCGGACGGGUGAGUAAUGUAUGGGGAACUGCCCGAUGGAGGGGGAUAACUACUGGAAACGGUGGCUAAUACCGCAUACUAUCGGAUGUACCCAUAUGGGAUUAGCUAGUAGGUGGGGUAAAGGCUCACCUAGGCGACGAUCCCUAGCUGGUCUGAGAGGAUGAUCAGCCACACUGGAACUGAGACACGGCCCAGACUCCUACGGGAGGCAGCAGUGGGGAAUAUUGCACAAUGGGCGCAAGCCUGAUGCAGCCAUGCCGCGUGUAUGAAGAAGGCCUUCGGGUUGUAAAGUACUGUCAGCGGGGAGGCGUUACUCGCAGAAGAAGCACCGGCUAACUCCGUGCCAGCAGCCGCGGUAAUAC